AGGAGGAGGACAAGGAGGAAGCGCAGGAGAAGGAAGGAAGCUAGUUUGCUCAGAAUUCCAGCAACUCGGCCCGAAAUAUCAAGAACCCAGCUGGGAGGACUAGCUGCCUAGACACUCACACUGUGGCUCCCAGACUUGAGAAGAAACAAGAGCUGAGAGAAAACCAGUUUCCUCUACUCAGAGAGAUAAGUGCAUAAGCCAUCAUUAACUCCUUGAGGGCAGAAACCAUUAAUUCUACAGCGUGGGGGACCCUACAGCUAGUCCCUGCUUCUCCCUUGCCAACUGAACUCCAGUUUUGUUCAGGAGCCAAUGUGUCCAAUUUUGGACCCUUAGACCUGCAGAGACGUGAUGACUGGUGCUGAAACAACGGCCUUGUAACUAUGAGGAAAAGUCUAAAAGAAUUCCACAGAUGCUGGUCCUGCCAAUAUUGAAUCCAUGAACCCACCGAGUGAUUGCCUACCUCCAAGCUUCU